rnacentral:rRNA from 1 species
AACGAACGCUGGCGGCAUGCCUAACACAUGCAAGUCGAACGAACCCUUCGGGGUUAGUGGCGCACGGGUGCGUAACGCGUGGGAAUCUGCCCUUUGCUUCGGAAUAACAGUUAGAAAUGACUGCUAAUACCGGAUGAUGUCGCAAGACCAAAGAUUUAUCGGCAAAGGAUGAGCCCGCGUAGGAUUAGGUAGUUGGUGGGGUAAUGGCCUACCAAGCCGACGAUCCUUAGCUGGUCUGAGAGGAUGAUCAGCCACACUGGGACUGAGACACGGCCCAGACUCCUACGGGAGGCAGCAGUGGGGAAUAUUGGACAAUGGGCGAAAGCCUGAUCCAGCAAUGCCGCGUGAGUGAUGAAGGCCUUAGGGUCGUAAAGCUCUUUUACCA